GAAGGUAACAGAAAGGUGG
rnacentral:piRNA from 1 species